rnacentral:tRNA from 1 species
GGGCAAUUAACUCAGAGGGAGAGUGUCUUCUUGACGUGGAGAAAGUCAUAGGUUCGAAUCCUAUAUUGCCCA